rnacentral:rRNA from 1 species
CAUGUAGGCGGUUCUGUAAGUCUGGCGUGAAAUGGUUCGGCUUAACCGGAUCCUGCGUCGGAAACUGUGGGACUAGAAUCACUGAGGGGAAAUCAGAAUUCCAGGUGUAGGGGUGAAAUCUGUAGAUAUCUGGAAGAAUACCGGUGGCGAAGGCGGAUUUCUGGCAGAUGAUUGACGCUGAGGUGCGAAAGUGCGGGGAGCAAACAG